rnacentral:rRNA from 1 species
GACGAACGCUGGCGGCGUGCUUAACACAUGCAAGUCGAACGAUGAAGCCCUUUCGGGGGUGGAUUAGUGGCGAACGGGUGAGUAACACGUGGGUAACCUGCCCUGUACCCUGGGAUAAGCCUUGGAAACGAGGUCUAAUACCGGAUAUGACCUGCUCUCGCAUGGGGGUGGGUGGAAAGUUUUGGCGGUGCAGGAUGGACCCGCGGCCUAUCAGCUUGUUGGUGGGGUGAUGGCCUACCAAGGCGACGACGGGUAGCCGGCCUGAGAGGGCGACCGGCCACACUGGGACUGAGACACGGCCCAGACUCCUACGGGAGGCAGCAGUGGGGAAUAUUGCACAAUGGGCGAAAGCCUGAUGCAGCGACGCCGCGUGAGGGAUGACGCC